rnacentral:rRNA from 1 species
UACGGAGGAUGCAAGCGUUAUCCGGAAUGAUUGGGCGUAAAGCGUCCGCAGGUGGCAAUGUAAGUCUGCUGUCAAAGCGUCUGGCUCAACCAGAUAAAGGCAGUGGAAACUACAUAGCUAGAGUAAGGUAGGGGUAGAGGGAAUUCCUGGUGUAGCGGUGAAAUGCGUAGAGAUCAGGAAGAACACCGGUGGCGAAAGCGCUCUGCUGGACCUUAACUGACACUGAGGGACGAAAGCUAGGGGAGCGAACCGG